AAUAGGUAGCCGUAAUGUCAGGUUGUGACCGUUGUGGUGAUGUUAUUGCACAAAGUCUCUUGACAACUGAUGAGCAAGGCUACACUGCUAUUCAUCGUGCCGUUAUUGCAAACGAUCUUGCAAUUCUGAAGUAACUUCUUCCAUAUGUAGAUAGAAGGUACAUCAACAAGGAGAGCUAUGAUCGAUCCACUGCACUCCUGCUUCUCUGUAAAAGAUUCACCGCUCCAGAGUCUGAGGCAGAAAAGCCUGCUCUGCAAACAGAGGAAGAGAUUCUAGUGAGCCUCCUUGCUGCCGGUGCUGAUCCCAACCUGCCUCAGCCUGAGCCUGUCUCCCUGCCCUUACUGAUCAAAUUUCUACUCUCAUGAAAUAAUCGUUGGUGGCGGGGCGUGGAGCUACUGUUGGAUGCUGGGCGUGGAGCUACUGGCCGUGGAUGUAGAGCACAACCUGCAGCCAGCCAUAUUCUUAGCCAGGGUCAAUGUUGAAAUUCUCAUAAGACUUCUAGAAGAAGGCUGUGCUAACGAUGAGGUCUGCUCGUGGAUUGCUGAUGGAAUUUUCAACAAAGCCCAAGUGAAGAAGCUGGUAGAGGCAGCACACGAGUUCGGACCAGGGUUUGUCACAAAAAGUCUGCUGUA